rnacentral:rRNA from 1 species
AGAGUUUGAUCAUGGCUCAGGGUAAACGCUGGCGGCGUGCGUAACACAUGCAAGUCGGACGGGUCAUUACUCUUCGGAGUGAUGGUUAGUGGCGAACGGGUGAGUAAAAGGUAGGGACCUACCCCGAGGACAGAGAUAGCUACUGGAAACGGUAGGUAAACUCUGAUAAGCCCGAGAGGGGAAAGUGGGAGACAGCCUUGGGAUGGACCUACUAUCCAUCAGGUAGUUGGUGAGGUAAAGGCUUACCAAGCCGAUGACGGAUAACCGGUGUGAGAGCAUGUACGGUCACAAGGGCACUGAGACACGGGCCCUACUCCUACGGGAGGCAGCAGUGGGGAGUAUUGGACAAUGGGCGAAAGCCUGAUCCAGCGACGCCGCGUGAAGGAAGAAGUCCUUCGGGAUGUAAACUUCUGAACUAAUCGAAUAAGAGGGUAGUGGACACACUACAGAAGAAGGUAGAUUAGGAAAAGUCCCGGCUAACUACGUGCCAGCAGCCGCGGUAAGACGUAGGGGGCGAGCGUUGCCCGGAAUCACUGGGUGUAAAGGGGACGUAGGCGGAUGAUCAAGUCAUCUGUGAAAAGGUUGCUCAACGAUUGGCUUGCGGAUGAAACUGGUUAUCUUGGGCGUAGCAGAGGUAGACGGAAUUACCUGAGUAGGGGUGAAAUCCGCAGAUACAGGUAAGAACGCCGGUGAAGAAGUUGGUCUACUGGGCUACAGCUGACGCUGAGGUCCGAAAGCCAGGGGAGCGAACCGGAUUAGAUACCCGGGUAGUCCUGGCUGUAAACGAUGCUCACUAGGUGUAGGGAGCGAAAGACUCUCUGUGCUGAAGCGAACGCGAUAAGUGAGCCACCUGGGGAGUACGUCCGCAAGGAUGAAACUCAAAUGAAUUGACGG